CGCCGUAGGUAAACUUCGUUAAAAUUACAACCAAUAUACCACUGCCCAUUAUUUUUUUUCCUCCACUUUUUUUCACGAUUUCUCAUACUCCGUCUUACAACCGACGCCACCACACCCGCAUGCCGACCUCGACGGCUCCAUAAGUUGCCUACACAGAAAAUGAAAAUAAAUAGUUCGUGAUAUAUUAAAUUGGAGUUGGUGGUGAUGAUACGGUCGCCGUCGUAGGUUAAGUUCGUUAAAAUUACAACCAAUAUGCCACUGCCCAUUAUUUUCUUUUCCUCCAGUUUUUUCACGAUUUCUCCUACUCCGUCUUACAACCGACGCCACCACACCCGCAUGCCGACCUCGACGGCGCCAUGAGUUGCCUACACAGAAAA
rnacentral:lncRNA from 1 species